AGGGCUCAUGGAACCGAUGUAGGGCUUCCAACGGACGAUGAAUUGGGAAACAGUGAAGUUGGUCACAAUGCGCUUGGUGCUGGACGCAUUUUCGCUCAAGGGGCCAAGCUUGUUGAUCUUGCUCUUGCCUCUGGUAAAAUUUACGAGGGAGAAGGAUUUAAGUAUACAAGUGAAUCUUUU